AUAUAAAACCUGCAGAUUUGCUUCUACGUUUGUUUCUCACUAUCAGAUGUCUGUGAGCUCACUUUGGACCCAAACACAGCACACAAAAAUGUCCUGCUGUCUGAGAACCACAGAAAAGUGAUGCUGGCGAUAGAGAAGCAGCCGUAUCCGGAUCACCCGGACAGAUUCGACUGGUGCUACCAGCUGCUGUGCACGGCCGGACUAGUCGGUCGCUGUUAUUGGGA
rnacentral:misc_RNA from 1 species